rnacentral:tRNA from 1 species
GCCUGGGUGGCUCAGUUGGUUGAGCAACUGACUUCGGCUCAGGUCAUGAUCUCACGGUUUGUGAGUUCGAGCCCCACAUCAGGCU